rfam:Felis catus isolate Cinnamon breed Abyssinian chromosome C2, whole genome shotgun sequence.
GCCUGGGUGGCUCAGUCAGUUGAGCAUCGGACUUUGGCUCAGGUCUUGAUCUCAAGGUUUGUGGGUAUGAGCCCCACAUCAGGCU